rnacentral:rRNA from 1 species
GACGAACGCUGGCGGCGUGCUUAACACAUGCAAGUCGAACGGAAAGGCCCUGCUUUUGUGGGGUGCUCGAGUGGCGAACGGGUGAGUAACACGUGAGUAACCUGCCCUUGACUUUGGGAUAACUUCAGGAAACUGGGGCUAAUACCGGAUAGGAGCUCCUGCUGCAUGGUGGGGGUUGGAAAGUUUCGGCGGUUGGGGAUGGACUCGCGGCUUAUCAGCUUGUUGGUGGGGUAGUGGCUUACCAAGGCUUUGACGGGUAGCCGGCCUGAGAGGGUGACCGGGCAGAAUGGGACUGAGAGACGGCACAGACUCCUACGGGAGGCAGCAGUGGGGAAUAUUGCACAAUGGGCGGAAGCCUGAUGCAGCAACGCCGCGUGGGGGAUGAAGGCCUUAGGGUUGUAAACCGCGUUCGCCUGUGACGAAGCGUGAGUGACGGUAAUGGGUAAAGAAGCACCGGCUAACUACGU